rnacentral:rRNA from 1 species
UGCGCCUUGCCACGCCGCUCAGAAACUUAAAGGAAUUGACGGGGACCCGCACAAGCGGUGGAUGAUGUGGAUUAAUUCGAUGCAACGCGAAAAACCUUACCUACCCUUGACAUGUACGGAACCUUGAGAGAUCAGAGGGUGCUCGAAAGAGAGCCGUAACACAGGUGCUGCAUGGCUGUCGUCAGCUCGUGUCGUGAGAUGUUGGGUUAAGUCCCGCAACGAGCGCAACCCUUGUCAUUAGUUGCUACGAAAGGGCACUCUAAUGAGACUGCCGGUGACAAACCGGAGGAAGGUGGGGAUGACGUCAAGUCCUCAUGGCCCUUAUGGGUAGGGCUUCACACGUCAUACAAUGGUCGGUACAGAGGGUAGCCAACCCGCGAGGGGGAGCCAAUCCCAGAAAACCGAUCGUAGUCCGGAUCGCAGUCUGCAACUCGACUGCGUGAAGUCGGAAUCGCUAGUAAUCGCGGAUCAGCAUGUCGCGGUGAAUACGUUCCCGGGUCUU